GACAGAUGUGUUUCCUUCCCCAGAUGCUGAGGAGCUUCAAUUGUUCUGCAUAUGUAACGACUUUUUAUGGCUCCUUGCAAAUGCCUCUUCUGACUUUUAAAAAGGUGCCAAAGUCAAAUAUAGGUAGUUACUGUGAACGUUUUAGCAACAUCACCGGAAGCUCCAGCUGGCUAGAAAUCCUCUAUCAGAGGAUAAAUAGUAAGCAUACAUCCCUUUCCCAUUUCACAGAUGUCCCUCUUGGAAACCAGACUGUUGUAUCUCGAGAUUGCCUUUCCCCUGAGUAAAAGGAAGUAAGUUUGAGACUGUCUACUUUUUUUCAGGCUUCUCAGAUCAAGAAGAAUUGACCUUAAUUUUUUCUUGUUCAACCUAUUCGUAAAUAUCUACCAUGACUCGAAGGUACUUAUGGAAUAGAAUUACUUAUUAGUUGAGUAUUUAGACAUAUUUUCCCUGUAGUAUCUUUCAAAGAGCAGAUUUUAGUUUUCAGAACUCCAGGAUGGCUUCCAAAUUAAUAAUUUGUUCGUUUCUUAAAAUUUUUUCUUCCAAGAUCACAGGUGAGGGUUCUUCUGCAAGAAGAACAGUUUCAAAGCCUCUGAUUCUUGCCUGCUGGAAUAGCACGUGGUAGGACUGGCGCUGGGAGCAGGUCUAGACCAGUCCCAGCGGGCAGGAGACAGCACUCACUCAUCUGCAGGAUCCCAGCUCGUUCAACAAAAAAGCGAGAGUGGCAGAUGGAGGACAUGUUUUCAUCUUGUUGCAUCUUUAAACAGAUGGACCCUUUUUGAAAGACAUAAGCCCUGUUAUCAUUAAGAAUUAGAUCGUAGGAAAAAUAAAACUUAAAAAAUUCCAUACUUGACCAAUAAAGGGACUAACGCAGUAAUUCACACAGGGUUAAAAAGGACAUUUUUAGUCAUUUGAGAAAGCAUUACAAAAUGUGUAAAUCAAACUUACGUAUCCU
rnacentral:lncRNA from 1 species